rnacentral:rRNA from 1 species
GGGUUGUGAGGUUAAGCGACUAAGCGUACACGGUGGAUGCCCUGGCAGUCAGAGGCGAUGAAGGGCGUGCUAAUCUGCGAUAAGCGCCGGUAAGGUGAUAUGAACCGUUAUAACCGGCGAUACCCGAAUGGGGAAACCCAGUGUGAUUGGUCACACUAUCAUUAACUGAAUCCAUAGGUUAAUGAGGCGAACCGGGGGAACUGAAACAUCUAAGUACCCCGAGGAAAAGAAAUCAACCGAGAUUCCCCCAGUAGCGGCGAGCGAACGGGGAGGAGCCCAGAGCCUGAAUCAGCAUGUGUGUUAGUGGAAGCGUCUGGAAGGCGCGCGAUACAGGGUGACAGCCCCGUACACAAAAGCGCAUGUGCUGUGAGCUCGAUGAGUAGGGCGGGACACGUGGUAUCCUGUCUGAAUAUGGGGGGACCAUCCUCCAAGGCUAAAUACUCCUGACUGACCGAUAGUGAACCAGUACCGUGAGGGAAAGGCGAAAAGAACCCCGGCGAGGGGAGUGAAAAAGAACCUGAAACCGUGUACGUACAAGCAGUGGGAGCACCCUUCGGGGUGUGACUGCGUACCUUUUGUAUAAUGGGUCAGCGACUUAUAUUCUGUAGCAAGGUUAACCGUAUAGGGGAGCCGGAGGGAAACCGAGUCUUAACCGGGCGUUAAGUUGCAGGGUAUAGACCCGAAACCCGGUGAUCUAGCCAUGGGCAGGUUGAAGGUUGGGUAACACUAACUGGAGGACCGAACCGACUAAUGUUGAAAAAUUAGCGGAUGACCUGUGGCUGGGGGUGAAAGGCCAAUCAAACCGGGAGAUAGCUGGUUCUCCCCGAAAGCUAUUUAGGUAGCGCCUCGUGAAUUCAUCUCCGGGGGUAGAGCACUGUUUCGGCUAGGGGGCCAUCCCGGCUUACCAACCCGAUGCAAACUGCGAAUACCGGAGAAUGUUAUCACGGGAGACACACGGCGGGUGCUAACGUCCGUCGUGAAGAGGGAAACAACCCAGACCGCCAGCUAAGGUCCCAAAGUCAUGGUUAAGUGGGAAACGAUGUGGGAAGGCCCAGACAGCCAGGAUGUUGGCUUAGAAGCAGCCAUCAUUUAAAGAAAGCGUAAUAGCUCACUGGUCGAGUCGGCCUGCGCGGAAGAUGUAACGGGGCUAAACCAUGCACCGAAGCUGCGGCAGCGAACGUAUCACCCAAGACAACUUUACGGAGUUGACGAUUGACGGAGCGAAGCGACGUCAAAGCGUUCAUUAAAGUCGAGUUGGCUUAGGGAUACGUUCGUUGGGUAGGGGCGUUCUGUAAGCCUGUGAAGGUGUGUCGUGAGGCAUGCUGGAGGUAUCAGAAGUGCGAAUGCUGACAUAAGUAACGAUAAAGCGGGUGAAAAGCCCGCUCGCCGGAAGACCAAGGGUUCCUGUCCAACGUUAAUCGGGGCAGGGUGAGUCGACCCCUAAGGCGAGGCCGAAAGGCGUAGUCGAUGGGAAACGGGUUAAUAUUCCCGUACUUGGUGUUACUGCGAAGGGGGGACGGAGAAGGCUAUGUUGGCCGGGCGACGGUUGUCCCGGUUUAAGCGUGUAGGUGUGUGUUCGUAAAUCCGGUUCACUUUAACACUGAGGCGUGACGACGAGGCACUACGGUGCUGAAGCAACAAAUGCCCUGCUUCCAGGAAAAGCCUCUAAGCAUCAGGUAACAUCAAAUCGUACCCCAAACCGACACAGGUGGUCAGGUAGAGAAUACCAAGGCGCUUGAGAGAACUCGGGUGAAGGAACUAGGCAAAAUGGUGCCGUAACUUCGGGAGAAGGCACGCUGACACGUAGGUGAAGUGAUUUACUCAUGGAGCUGAAGUCAGUCGAAGAUACCAGCUGGCUGCAACUGUUUAUUAAAAACACAGCACUGUGCAAACACGAAAGUGGACGUAUACGGUGUGACGCCUGCCCGGUGCCGGAAGGUUAAUUGAUGGGGUCAGCGUAAGCGAAGCUCCUGAUCGAAGCCCCGGUAAACGGCGGCCGUAACUAUAACGGUCCUAAGGUAGCGAAAUUCCUUGUCGGGUAAGUUCCGACCUGCACGAAUGGCGUAAUGAUGGCCAGGCUGUCUCCACCCGAGACUCAGUGAAAUUGAACUCGCUGUGAAGAUGCAGUGUACCCGCGGCAAGACGGAAAGACCCCGUGAACCUUUACUAUAGCUUGACACUGAACAUUGAGCCUUGAUGUGUAGGAUAGGUGGGAGGCUUUGAAGUGUGGACGCCAGUCUGCAUGGAGCCGACCUUGAAAUACCACCCUUUAAUGUUUGAUGUUCUAACGUGGACCCGUAAUCCGGGUUGCGGACAGUGUCUGGUGGGUAGUUUGACUGGGGCGGUCUCCUCCUAAAGAGUAACGGAGGAGCACGAAGGUUGGCUAAUCCUGGUCGGACAUCAGGAGGUUAGUGCAAUGGCAUAAGCCAGCUUGACUGCGAGCGUGACGGCGCGAGCAGGUGCGAAAGCAGGUCAUAGUGAUCCGGUGGUUCUGAAUGGAAGGGCCAUCGCUCAACGGAUAAAAGGUACUCCGGGGAUAACAGGCUGAUACCGCCCAAGAGUUCAUAUCGACGGCGGUGUUUGGCACCUCGAUGUCGGCUCAUCACAUCCUGGGGCUGAAGUAGGUCCCAAGGGUAUGGCUGUUCGCCAUUUAAAGUGGUACGCGAGCUGGGUUUAGAACGUCGUGAGACAGUUCGGUCCCUAUCUGCCGUGGGCGCUGGAGAACUGAGGGGGGCUGCUCCUAGUACGAGAGGACCGGAGUGGACGCAUCACUGGUGUUCGGGUUGUCAUGCCAAUGGCACUGCCCGGUAGCUAAAUGCGGAAGAGAUAAGUGCUGAAAGCAUCUAAGCACGAAACUUGCCCCGAGAUGAGUUCUCCCUGAGACUUAGAGUCUCCUGAAGGAACGUUGAAGACGACGACGUUGAUAGGCCGGGUGUGUAAGCGCAGCGAUGCGUUGAGCUAACCGGUACUAAUGAACCGUGAGGCUUAACCUUACAACGCCGAAG